AAAGCCAGAAGAAACAACCUACUGACCUAGUAUAAAUAUUAACUAGUACAAUAAAGUGUAAACCUAAACCUAACAUUACAAUUUACUUCUGCAACCGCCGCCCACAUCAAACCUAAAUUUUUCAUCUUCUCUGCCUCUUACCCACAUCUCCGCAUAUAUCUGUUCUCUAGCUCUAUCUCUUCUGCAGCCGCCGCCCACACCAAACCUAACAUUUUCUCUGCAUCUAUCUCUUCUUAAGCUGAUUAACAAUGGUAGGGAAGCAUGGCUGCAAACAAACUCCAACGACAUGGAUGGGCACAGACAAAGAACGUUCCAGUCACAACAAAGAUCUGGACAACUAAUGGAGGAAAGCGAUUCGACUAGGCCGAAAAGCUACUUGGGGUCUAGUUUGGAUUGCAAGAACCCCAGCUUGGAGUUCACAAUGUGUAGACCAGAUUGGCCGGGGAAAGAACAUUGCUGAUCAUGCAUAAACAAUCGCUAUAUACCAUGGUUGUCUUUCUUUGAAGUGAAUUCCUGCCCACCGUAAGCCAAUUUAAAAAAAAAACCAAAAAAACCCAUGGGAUUAGGUUUCCCGGUUUUUUCCUUAAAAAACCGGAUUUAACCGAACCAGACCAGUUCAGUUUGAACCGGUUUCCGGUCCGGUUAAUUUUUUACAAAUAUGUUGUAAUUCGGUUCGGUUGGUUUUUUUAGUUUAAACCGAACCGAACCGUGAACACCCCUA